rnacentral:ncRNA from 1 species
CUGAGAUAGAAUUGCAGGGUGGUGUCUCCUGAACCCGCCGCGGCGCGGGGUCGUCUCCGUCUCGG